UCUACAGCUUCUAUUCACCCUUUCAUGUUCUAUGCCUGCAUGCUCCAGAUGACUUAUCACAAGCCAAGCACAAUUGGAAGACAAACAGCAGUCAUGUGUCCCGGCCAUCCUUUUCAUCUUUCCUUAUUUCACAGAAAACAACGGAGGUCCCCCGUGAACUCAGCUGACCCACAGAAGAGAAACACCAUCACCAAGGUGGAAGAGCCUGUGUAGGAGGAGUGCUAAGCAGAAGGGGAGAAAACGAGAAGAUUACAGGGAGCCACCUGCCUUCUGCAGAACCCUCAACUGCAUCCACAGAGAACAUCAUUUCAGAGCUUCAUGACAGGUCUAAGUCUGCCUCCCUCUGAGGCCUGAGUUUCCUCCCUGGAUUUUUUUUCUUUCCCAUACAUCUACAACCUAUAUGCUUCCACAAGAUCUGUGGAUCCAUUCAUGAUGCUACCCCAGUUCACCCGCAUGAUGUCUCUCAGGAAGACUGAAAACCUGGUAACCCUCUGAUUUAAAUGUUUCAAAGACAACCCAAAAUAAA